rnacentral:lncRNA from 1 species
GAAUCAAAGCCAGAGAAAUCACCAUUCCUCUGGCGAUAGCAGAGAAAUCACCAUUCCUCUGGCGAUAGCAUUACCCUGGCGAGGCCCGUUCCCCUGGCGAUAGCCGUUCCUCUGGCGAGAGCUGCGAAUUCGGCAAGAGUGGGAGUAUUUUCCAGAGCGCGCAUCCAGCUGGAGAGUUGCCUUAUUUUACACGAUUCUAUUACCUUUAGAAUUCUACUUUGCAUGGCAACUUCCAUGGUGAU